rnacentral:rRNA from 1 species
GACGAACGCUGGCGGCGUGCUUAACACAUGCAAGUCGAACGGAAAGGCCUCUUUCGGGGGGUACUCGAGUGGCGAACGGGUGAGUAACACGUGAGUAACCUGCCCUUGACUUUGGGAUAACUUCAGGAAACUGGGGCUAAUACCGGAUAGGAGCUCCUGCUGCAUGGUGGGGGUUGGAAAGUUUCGGCGGUUGGGGAUGGACUCGCGGCUUAUCAGCUUGUUGGUGGGGUAGUGGCUUACCAAGGCUUUGACGGGUAGCCGGCCUGUGAGGGUGACCGGCCACAUUGGGACUGAGAUACGGCCCAGACGCCUACGGGAGGCAGCAGUGGGGAAUAUUGCACAAGGGGUGGAAGCCUGAUGCAGCAACGCCGUGUGCGGGAUGACGGCCUUCGGGUUGUAAACCGCUUGCGCUCAUGACGAAGCUUUGUGUGACGGUAGUGGGUAAAGAAGCACCGGCUAACUACGUG